AACGAUCAUACCAUGCUGAAUAUACCGGUUCUCGUUAGAUCACCGAAGUCAAGCAUCAUUGGGCGCGGUCAGUACUUGGGUGGGUGACCACCUGGGAACACCGCGUGCCGUU
rnacentral:rRNA from 1 species